rnacentral:rRNA from 1 species
GAUGAACGCUAGCUACAGGCUUAACACAUGCAAGUCGAGGGGAAACGAUAGGGAAAGCUUGCUUUUUCUAGGCGUCGACCGGCGCACGGGUGAGUAACGCGUAUCCAACCUGCCCAUCACUUGGGGAUAACCUUGCGAAAGUAAGACUAAUACCCAAUGACGUCUCUAGAAGACAUCUGAAGGAGAUUAAAGAUUUAUAGGUGAUGGAUGGGGAUGCGUCUAAUUAGCUUGUUGGCGGGGUAACGGCCCACCAAGGCGACGAUCAGUAGGGGUUCUGAGAGGAAGGUCCCCCACAUUGGAACUGAGACACGGUCCAAACUCCUACGAGAGGCAGCAGUGAGGAAUAUUGGUCAAUGGACGAGAGUCUGAACCAGCCAAGUAGCGUGCAGGAAGACGGCCCUAUGGGUUGUAAACUGCUUUUAUAAGGGAAUAAAGUGAGUCUCGUGAGACUUUUUGCAUGUACCUUAUGAAUAAGGACCGGCUAAUUCCGUGCCAGCCGCCGCGGUAA